rnacentral:rRNA from 1 species
UACGGAGGGUGCAAACGUUGCUCGGAAUCAUUGGGCGUAAAGCGCACGUAGGCGGACCGCUAAGUCGGAUGUGAAAGCCCUCGGCUUAACCGAGGAAGUGCAUUCGAAACUGACAGUCUUGAGUAUGGAAGAGGGUCGCGGAAUUCCCGGUGUAGAGGUGAAAUUCGUAGAUAUUGGGAAGAACACCGAUGGCGAAGGCAGCCAUCUGGACCGACACUGACGCUGAGGCGCGAAAGCGUGGGGAGCAAACAGG